rnacentral:tRNA from 1 species
AAUGAAAUGGCUGAAUUAUAGGCGAUAAAUUGUAAAUUUAUUUAUGAAUGUUAAUUCUUUCAUUA